GCCGGGAUCGCAUAAUCUGGUAUUGCACCGGUCUCGAAAACCGGGCCUUCGGGCAUCUGGGUUCAAAUCCCAGUCCCGGCG
rnacentral:tRNA from 1 species